CCUCCUCCAGGAAGUCCUCCCUCUGUUCUUGUUCGCAUGCUCAAACCUCCACAAAUCCGCUCCGAAAGAGCGUCACCUGCAGGGCCGUCGCCGAACCUUCCCGAACCUUUCCGCCCCACCCGACCGACCCGGCCCGGCCCAUCGCCGCCUCGGGAAAUCCUGAUAAGCCGCCGAGCUCCUCCUCCGCCGCCGACGGCUGCAGAGACCGCAUCGCGUAGCUCGUCCGGGAGGGGCUGCCGGGGGAACCUGAUAAGCUCGCCGUACGGACAGGGCGGGUGGCCGAAGCUUCGACAUUGACGAGGGCCCUCGGAGAGGGAGGAGGGCCGAUUUCGCGGCGCCGAAGGAGGCGGAGUUUCGAGGUUUCGGUUUUGAGCGGCGGCGGCGGCGGCGAUGGAUGAGAGAGAUAGCGGCGGCCGGAGCUGCGACAAGGGCGUCGGAGCUGAGGACGAGGGGAGCACGGCUCCUCUUCCCGAAAAGGUCCAGGUUGGGGGUUCGCCAUUAUACAGAAUAGAAAGAAAGUUGGGAAAGGGUGGUUUUGGUCAAGUAUAUGUCGGGCGAAGAUUUGGUGCAACCGCUAUAACCGAGCGAACCGGUCCUGGGGCUAUUGAGGUUGCGCUGAAGUUUGAGCAUAGAAGCAGUAAAGGAUGUAAUUAUGGACCGCCCCAUGAGUGGCAAGUAUACAAUGCUCUUGGUGGAAGUCACGGAGUACCACGAGUACAUUACAAGGGGAGGCAGGGUGACUAUUAUGUCAUGGUUAUGGAUAUGCUUGGGCCUAGUCUAUGGGACGUAUGGAAUAACAACUCUCACACCAUGUCAACUGAAAUGGUCGCCUGUAUUGCGAUCGAAGCAAUCUCCAUACUUGAGAAGAUGCACUUCCGAGGAUAUGUGCAUGGUGAUGUAAAACCUGAGAAUUUUCUGCUUGGUCCCCCAGGAACACCUGAAGAGAAAAAGCUGUUUCUGGUUGAUCUUGGCUUAGCCACCAGGUGGAGGGAUGGUUCGACGGGCCUACAUGUUGAAUAUGACCAACGUCCAGAUGUUUUUAGAGGGACAGUUCGGUAUGCCAGUGUGCAUGCUCAUCUUGGUAGAGUUGGCAGCAGGAGAGAUGACUUAGAAUCACUUGCUUACACACUCAUUUUCUUUUGCGUGGACGUUUACCUUGGCAAGGAUAUCAGGGAGAGAAUAAAGGGUUCCUUGUCUGCAAAAAGAAGAUGGCCACUUCCCCAGAAACACUAUGUUGCUUCUGCCCUCAGCCUUUCCGACAAUUUGUUGAGUAUGUUGUGAACUUAAAAUUCGACGAGGAACCCAACUAUGCUAAAUAUAUAUCUCUCUUUGAUGGUAUCAUUGGCCCUAAUCCGGAUAUUAGGCCAAUUAAUACUGAUGGUGCUCAGAAGCUUGUCUGUCAGGUUGGACAUAAAAGAGGACGAUUGACUAUGGAAGACGAAGAAGAUGAACAGCCAAAAAAGAAGGUUCGAAUGGGGAUGCCUGCUACACAAUGGAUAAGUGUCUAUAAUGCUCGUCGACCGAUGAAGCAAAGGUAUCACUACAAUGUGGCAGAUAUCCGGUUAUCACAACAUAUCGACAAAGGAAAUGAGGAUGGGUUAUUCAUCAGCAGUGUGGCUUCUUGCUCUAACCUUUGGGCUUUAAUAAUGGACGCCGGAACUGGCUUCUCUGAUCAAGUUUAUGAGCUCUCAUCCUACUUUCUUCACAAGGAGUGGAUCAUGGAGCAGUGGGAGAAGAACUACUAUAUCACCGCAGUUGCAGGAGCUUCCAAUGGCAGCUCAUUAGUUGUAAUGUCUAAGGGAACCCCAUAUCUGCAGCAGUCAUAUAAAGUAAGUGAUUCAUUUCCCUUCAAGUGGAUUAAUAAAAAAUGGAGGGAAGGCUUUUAUGUCACGUCAAUGGCUACUGCUGGGACCAGAUGGGCUGUCAUUAUGUCCCGUGGCGCAGGGUUUACUGAUCAGGUCGUGGAGCUAGAUUUUCUCUAUCCUAGUGAAGGCAUUCAUAGAAGGUGGGACUGUGGCUACCGCAUCACAUCAACUGCUGCUACUUUAGAUCAGUCUGCUCUUAUCCUCAGCAUUCCACGAAGAAAGCCGACAGAUGAAACCCAAGAGACCUUACGAACUUCUGCCUUUCCUAGCACACAUGUCAAGGAAAAAUGGGCGAAGAAUCUCUACAUUGCUUCUGUUUGCUAUGGUCGGACCGUUUCAUGAGCCGCCAAAUUUUGUCCUCACCAUUGGAAUAUCAAUGAAUCACUUGGAUGAUCAGCAAUCGGCUUUUACCAUCUACCUCCCACUUAGGAAUGGCAAAUUGAAUCCAACCAUAUGGAUAGUUGAUGAGUGCCAAAAGUAUAUUUCAUUAUUCAUCGCAAUGCAUCAAAUAGAAAAGAGUCCACACUGUCUCAAUAUCAAAAUGCUCAUUAGCAAAAUGCUGUCGUUGUUCUAUCAUGAGGCGAAUAUUUUACUGCUCAUUGACUAGAAUUUGUAUAUGUAGAAAAUAUAACGUAGUUAAUGAUGCAGUACAGGUCGGGUCUUGAUUGUAAGUGCUAUUCUCAAGUGUUCAGUUGUGAUGCUUCAGUGAAGCUGCAACUUUCUGAGUUAGAGGCUAUGUAUUUGCCUUUGUAGGACUCAAGCUCCUGUGAUCUUCAUCCUUUUUCUGAGCUCAGUUAUUUUGAGUUACCCAUCAGAGAAAACGGACAUAUAGGGUGUCAGUUGUAUUAUUGUCAAAUCUUUUUGUUCAGCUUCUCUUUGAUUUUGAAGCAGUUAUCGUGCGAAAGAUCCUAAGCAGCAUUCAAAUUAUCUCUUUAUCUCCAUUAGCUUUGAUAUGGUAACUGUGUAUUUGGUCUCUCACAAUCUGCUACAAUGUUGCUGGUGGAUCUGGAAAGAUUCAUUUUCAUGAAUAUGACAGGAAGGUGUGUGUUUCUGAGGAUUUCCUUUUAGUCAGGGUUGUAGGUCAUUGUAACAGGUCCUUGGCAGUUCUGUUUCCCAUGUAAGAUAAUAUGGCUGAGCUGAAAAUAACGUAUGUCUUUUUCUUUUUUACUUGAUCUAGUUUUUAUACUAAAAAUGCACAUAGAUUCGUAUUUAGAUUUUGCAUUGGAACACCGUAUCCUGUCGCACAAAGGGGAUCUUGUCGAUCCUUCAACAUGAAAAUUACAGUUUGUGUUUGGUUUCUCACCUCCUCGCCUUUAAAACUUCCAAAUGCUACAGUCUAAAAAUUCUUAGCAUUUCUGGGUAUCUUGUGGUCCUAGUGGUUGCAAAUUUUGAACCUUUGGCUUCCCAUGCAGCUCAAGUAGAUCAUUGCUAAGAGCUUGUGGCAUGGCAGAUAUAUAGCAGGCAGUUUCUUUAGUUGCAUGUGUGGAAUUUGUCAUAGCAAUCUUGUAGACUUGGUGAUCAGGCCAAUGGGAUACUGCUCUGCAGGAUAAACUUUUCCACAGAGCUUGCGGCAAAUAUCUAUCCCAGUUGAUGGCUGGCUUGUGAAUAUAUUUGUGGAUAUAAGAGAAAUUUUUGGUUUCUAGAUAUCAGGCCAAUUUGACAUGUGUUUUUCUUCUUCAAGUUGGGACAUUGUUCUUGAUAGAAAUGGGAAAGAUCUAUUCUAUUCUUUGCUCACUCAGUAUAUUGUAUGUAUGAAAUCGAUAUCUCAUUCUUGUGUUCCAUUUUCAUCUUUAUUUUUCUAGAAGUAGGGAAGCAACACACAAGAAUGACUAGCUGCAUGUACACUACAUAGUGGAUGCUGCAUCAGAUCAAAAUGGCUUAAGAGUCAUAUGAUUGUUAUGUUCAAACUCCUUUUUCAAGUGUGUGGUCCUGAUUUGCUGGCGAAGAAUAUGGAGGUCUUGAGUACACUGUACAGCCCAAGGCACAAAGUACAAGGAAUAUUGGCCUGCAAUGGGCCUAAUUUGUGCAGGACACAAGGGAUUCAACAAUGGUAAUGACCUGAUCUUCUAGGAGCUUUAAGUGCAGAUUGGGGGCUCAACAAUCUGCCGAUCUAUUGAGGUCUCCUGAAGUUGUUCUAGCUUACCUGCCAGAAAUUAAGCCGUUGCAGGUGUGAAAUUGCUAUUUGGAUUUGUAGACGCCAAUUUCUAUACAAGUACAGAAGCGGGCACUGAUCUGCUCCUUCCAUUGCAUCAAUAUAGUAAAGAAUGGCAGAAGUCCAAUGUCUCUCUUCUUACGUGUGGAGGAUUUGAUGAUAAGUAUUAUCAAAGUUUUGAUGAAGCAAAGGAAACCAAAACACGGUACUGAAGAUUGGUAUUGCUACUUGCUAGAAGCAUGCGCUGGCUUAUUGUCCCGAAUUAGAGUGUGAGAGUACUAGUUGGCCCGUGGUAUGGAAAAUCCAGGAACUUCCAAUAUAGUGCAUCAUCUCAAUGGUGUGCUGCUUGGAGAUUGAUUAAGCUGGACCAGAUCACUUCUUAGGAUGUUUUACUCGGAUUAUUUGAGAAAAUGAGUCUGGUGUCUGGCAAAUCUCGUUAACACAAGCAAACAGUUGUGUUUUUGGGCUCUCUUCCUAGAAUAGUUAUGCUUUAA